UUUAAGCUUGUUGUAUGGGGAUGACUGCCCUACUGAUUACCACAGUGAGAUCACUACUUUUAAAGAUUGGUGUGAGAGGAAUCCACCUCAUUUUAAACACCACCAGAACAAAAGAAAUCAUCUUUGAUCUGAAGGCUGUGUGAGCCCAUGAAGCUGUACUCACUGGCGACAUGGAAACUGAGCAGGCUCAGACUGUUUGGAGGGAGUACAGCGAUCAUGUCAACGCUCUACAACGCUGUACUCUAAAGUCUAAUAAGAUACGGCAUGGCAGCUUGAUUCUGGCAGAAGGUUCAGAGCCGGCAGAUAUCGGAGCUACAAGCUCUCCUUCCUCCCUGCUUCUACAGCCCUGCUAAACAGAGAGCCAGCGCCCCCUCCAGGCUGAAGGAAGUCACAGCAGACAGGUGGAGGCCUCUCUGUGGAAUGAUAGCGAUAGCCUUCAAGCUUUUUAUUAUGCUUUUAUUGAUCUUAUCUAUUUUUUUUUGACUAUCAAUUCUUUUAUUCUGUUUUUAUCAUUUUAAUCAUUUUUUCUCUUUUAUCAUCUCAUUGAUUCCUUUUAGAUUAAUAUAUGCAUGUUAAGUCACUGGGUCCCUUUUUAUUCUACCUUAAGGGCAAUAAUGUAUGCAGCAGACUAUCUGGGUGGAUGCAUUAUGCUGCUCAUUUUUACUCCUACUUUUAUCCUUGAAUGUAUUAUUUAACUUUUGAUGCAAUAAGGAUUGUGCAGUCUUAUGCCUAAGUGGCAUCCUUUCUGUGAGGUGUGUCAAUGCAGUGUCUGUUGUUGUUUACUUGUUUUUAAUGUCGGAUGUAGCUGUCUAUCUGCCUUUUAAUGUCUGGAUGUGGUUAAGCAAACUUUAUGCCCAUGACAAAUUUUCCCUCGGGGA